rnacentral:rRNA from 1 species
AUUGAACGCUGGCGGCAGGCCUAACACAUGCAAGUCGAGCGGAGCGGCGGACGGGUGAGUAAUGCCUAGGAAUCUGCCUGGUAGUGGGGGAUCACGUCCGGAAACGGGCGCUAAUACCGCAUAAUAUCAGAUGAGCCUAGGUCGGAUUAGCUAGUUGGGGGGGUAAAGGCCUACCAAGGCGACGAUCCGUGACUGGUCUGAGAGGAUGAUCCGUCAACCUGUAACUGGGACACGGUCCAGACUGCUACGGGAGGGAGCAGUGGGGAAUAUUUGACAAUGGGCGAAAGCCUGGUCCAGCCAUGCCGCGUGUGGGAAGAAGGUCUUCGGAUUGUAAAGCACUUUAAGUUGGGAGGCGUUACCAACAGAAUAAGCACCGGCUAACUUCGUGCCAGCAGCCGCGGUAAUAC